UACGGAGGGGGCGAGCGUUAUUCGGAAUUAUUGGGCGUAAAGGGCGCGUAGGCGGCUUUACAAGUCAAAGGUGAAAUCCCUCGGCUCAACUGAGGAACUGCCUUUGAAACUGUGAGGCUUGAGUCCGGGAGGGGGUAGCGGAAUUCCCAGUGUAGCGGUGAAAUGCGUAGAUAUUGGGAGGAACACCAGUGGCGAAGGCGGCUACCUGGACCGGAACUGACGCUGAUGCGCGAAAGCGUGGGUAGCAAACAGG
rnacentral:rRNA from 1 species